GCGCCCGUAGCUCAGCUGGAUAGAGCGACGGCCUCCGGAGCCGUAGGUCGGGGGUUCGAAUCCCUUCGGGCGUA
rnacentral:tRNA from 1 species